UAGGGAAUCUUCCGCAAUGGGCGAAAGCCUGACGGAGCAACGCCGCGUGAGUGAUGAAGGUCUUCGGAUCGUAAAACUCUGUUAUUAGGGAAGAACAAAUGUGUAAGUAACUAUGCACGUCUUGACGGUACCUAAUCAGAAAGCCACGGCUAACUACGUGCCAGCAGCCGCGGUAAUACGUAGGUGGCAAGCGUUAUCCGGAAUUAUUGGGCGUAAAGCGCGCGUAGGCGGUUUUUUAAGUCUGAUGUGAAAGCCCACGGCUCAACCGUGGAGGGUCAUUGGGAACUGGAAAACUUGAGUGCAGAAGAGGAAAGUGGAAUUCCAUGUGUAGCGGUGAAAUGCGCAGGGAUAUGGAGGAACACCAGUGGCGAAGGCGACUUUCUGGUCUGUAACUGACGCUGAUGUGCGAAAGCGUGGGGAUCAAACAGG
rnacentral:rRNA from 1 species